UACGAAGGGGGCUAGCGUUGUUCGGAAUUACUGGGCGUAAAGCGCGUGUAGGCGGGCCGUUAAGUCGGGGGUGAAAGCCCAGAGCUCAACUCUGGAACUGCCUUCGAUACUGGCGGCCUGGAGCAUGAUAGAGGGGAGUGGAAUUGCGAGUGUAGAGGUGAAAUUCGUAGAUAUUCGGAGGAACACCAGUGGCGAAGGCGACUUGCUGGAUCAUUGCUGACGCUGAGACGAGAAAGCGUGGGGAGCAAACAGG
rnacentral:rRNA from 1 species